UAGGGAAUCUUCCGCAAUGGGCGAAAGCCUGACGGAGCAACGCCGCGUGAGUGAUGAAGGUCUUCGGAUCGUAAAACUCUGUUAUUAGGGAAGAACAAAUGUGUAAGUAACUAUGCACGUCUUGACGGUACCUAAUCAGAAAGCCACGGCUAACUACGUGCCAGCAGCCGCGGUAAUACGUAGGUGGCAAGCGUUAUCCGGAAUUAUUGGGCGUAAAGCGCGCGUAGGCGGUUUUUUAAGUCUGAUGUGAAAGCCCACGGCUCAACCGUGGAGGGUCAUUGGAAACUGGAAAACUUGAGUGCAGAAGAGGAAAGUGGAAUUCCAUGUGUAGCGGUGAAAUGCGCAGAGAUAUGGAGGAACACCAGUGGCGAAGGCGACUUUCUGGUCUGUAACUGACGCUGAUGUGCGAAAGCGUGGGGAUCAUACAGG
rnacentral:rRNA from 1 species